CUCCGUGUGAGCUGGAGCUGCCUAGACCAGGGGGGCUGAGCCCUCCAAGAAAGGAGUGUUGGAAAGAAACUGAAGAAAAUCUCAAAGAGAGAUUCUAACAUCAAACUCCUACCCCUUGUAUGAGUUGCUAGUAGCAUUGAGGAGAGUGCCUAAUUAGAGAUGUCCUCCUGCUUCCUCCAUAUCUGCCGCCUGACCCCCUGGACUUGGUCCCAAUCCUCCUCCAGUUGUGGUUGACUAUUGUUUAUUGAAAACCAUCUACAAGCACUAUUUUCUGGACUGUAUAACUGUAUUGUGCCUCUGUUAAGCAAUAUGGAGUGCUACAUGGCCUGGGAAACACAGUGGCCACAACAAUACAUGCCAUGGCACCCAGAUACCACAGUGAUGGGCAUAAUAUAGCAAUGUGACUGGAACAGAACUUUAUCCAAAGAUCAAUACUGUUUUUAAAAAAUCAGCAUAUAAGGAAUGAAGGCCUGAUUGUCUUAUCCAUUUUACACCAGUGUAACUCUACUUCUUUUGUGUGGCAUCUAUGAAGAUAAAGGAGGAUAAGCUCCUUGUAUAAUCCAGUCCUGAUCCUCUUGGAUAAAUCAGUGUCAUCCCCUUGCUCUUGCUUCUCUGAUGAAUGACUGUCCUCAGGACACACUGUACACCCCUUUCAAAGCUUUCACACUGCAGUGUUUGAGCUCUUCAAGCUUACCCUAGGCCCCGGGGACCUCUCAGAGCAUAAGGAUUUCCAGUACCGUGAGGUUUUCAUGCUUGUCCUCAUCUUCAGCAACCUUUCAGAAGUGAAAGCCAUGACCAUACUGGAUCUGGAAAUAAGUUUGCCAGUGUUCUGCAGAAAAUGGCUCCAAAGAAAAAAAAAUUUGCCCCAGUACACUAAUUGGAUAUACCUGAUAAAAAGGAAGGUUCAAGGAGAGAUGUAGUGGGAAAAAGGGAACCUGAAGAAAGCAACACAUCAGUAGAUUAAUCUGAUGUCUGAAGAGAUGUUGGUUUCUUCAGUUCUUGUUGUAUGUAUAUACCCUUGUACUGCAAGUCAGAUUCCUUCUGCUUUUGCUUUGAACUGUAAAGUGGAAAGUUGCAAGUAAAUAUACUAUUUACCUCUCAAAGUAGAUAUAGAUAUUUAUACUCUUCCUUUCUCUUGCAAAUUGUAUUAUGUCAGCACAGAUAAAUAGGAACCUGACUAACUGUUGUGCAAACCAUAUCCUCCUAUAUUUCAUAUCUAUAUUAGCAUAAUGCAUGUUAAUUUUUGGUGAGUGAUUGUUUCUCAGGGAGUUGAUGAUAGAUUCCAUCCAAUAACCAAAACACAAUGAAUGCCGUAAUUUUGGACAUUAUGACAAUUAAGAUAAAACCUAUUUAUCAGUAAAACCAUAUUUCUAUAUCAGUGCUACAGACCAUGUGAUGACUGAAAACUUAUAUCGAGCAACCUGAGUAGCUGUGUUAGUAGCUGUGACAGUCUCUCUCCCAGGCAAGCCCCACAAGAGAAGGAUGCUAUGGGGCAUUCCACCAAGCAGUUGAUGAGCCUCCAAAAGAUCAAUUAGGAUUAGAGAUGGGGAGCAAGCAGUGAAAUCCAACAGAGACUUUUCUGUGUGUUGUUUGGGGGCAGCUAGGAAGCCUCAAUGUCUAGGCUGUUUGUAGUUUUUCCACUGGGAGGUGAGGAAGUUUUUCUUCUUGUGGGCAAAAAUACUCAGUUUAUUUCCUGCUUUUAAC